CAGGGACUUGCGGCUGAGCGCAGAGCUGCCUGGCGGGGCCGCAGGGUUUCCCAGCGUGACCAGCAGGGGCCGCGGGGCCCGGGACCUUAUGGUAUUGCGCAGAUUGAAAACUACUGGUGAAACUAAAAUAAACAGCUGUGUCUCCGUCUCAGAGGACAAAGUGAUUUCUGAGGGCUGUGCUUCACACAACAAUUGGAUCUGCCAAAAGAAACCAAAACAUCUCUGAAACUUCGCUUAACGACUCCUGACUGCGAAUCCCACCCGAUUACUUUACCAUCCAGAUCUCUGCACUCACUCUUUCUAGGCUGUGGGCCCCCACCCCACCCAGUCAUAGUUAGUGGCACAAAGCAUGGACUCCAUAAAACUGGAGUGUAAGUUAGCCUGUCUGGAAUUUUCUUGAUUAACGAGAAGAUGAUCCUACAUAGUAUAAGAAGGCAAACUGAGCAAGUCAGGAGGAGAAAGACUCUAGCUCGUGGGUAUCUUCCAGACACUACAUUUGAACCAUAGUCAAGGUCGUGGACAGUCCCAGAAGCAUCAACACCGUGAAUGUGACUGUUGGAGGUGGAAGGCCGAGAAGGGACCAGGCAGGCACAAAGUAAUGUUGGGACAGCACGGUGUUACCUUCGUCUUUACAGUAACGCAAUGACAUCAUCAGAGCACAAAUCUGAAGAAAAUAGUCCCAUAAAUUAUCAUUUGCACGCUCACCUGGUACUGGUAACAACUUGGCAUGGUAUUGGUAACGACUUUCUGGCACUGUUCAUAACAACUGAGUCCUUUCUGAUGGCUCAUGAGUCAUCUCUCACACACAGAUAUUACAUAUGAAAUCAAGUGACCCUCAAGGCACAUUGGAUGGAAUGUUUUCCCAUGACCCCAAAUAGUUAGAUUUCCUGUCUCCAUCACUUCCACUGCAGCCUUUAUUUACUAUUGGAUCGAAUCCUACUGAGAUCAUCUCUGAACUCCAGCUGUGGAGGUUAAUUUCCACCAGGAAGGCUUGUGAAACCUCAGGUCUAAUUCAGAUGUGGUGACUGAGCCUUGUCAGAUCUGAGUCAGUGUUUAUCCUCAUACACUGUCUGCACCUCUAAGUCACAUCCAGAGGAUGCAAUUCCAAGCCUGCCUCCUGUCAAUUAUAGAACAAAACAGAUAUGAAUGUUCAUGAGGAUAUGGAGAAAAGAUCAAGUGCCUACACUAGUGGGAAUGAAAGCUGCCGUGGCCGUUCUGCACAACAGCAAGGGAGACCUCAAAAAUUCGAGACACAUCCACUUUACUGUCAAACAAUCCCAUUCUGUACCUAUGUCCUAAUAAAAGAAAAACUGUGAAA